rnacentral:rRNA from 1 species
UACAGAGGUCUCGAGCGUUGUUCGGAUUCAUUGGGCGUAAAGGGUGCGUAGGUGGCGCUGUAAGUCAGGUGUGAAAUUUCGGAGCUUAACUCCGAAACUGCAUUUGAUACUGCGGUGCUUGAGGACUGGAGAGGAGACUGGAAUUUACGGUGUAGCAGUGAAAUGCGUAGAGAUCGUAAGGAAGACCAGUGGCGAAGGCGGGUCUCUGGACAGCUCCUGACACUGAGGCACGAAGGCCAGGGGAGCAAACGGG